ACGUAGGAGGCAAGCGUUAUCCGGAGUUACUGGGCGUAAAGGGCGUGCAGGCGGUUGGCUAAGUUCGUUGUGAAAGCGCCCAGGCUUAACCGGGCGAGGACAAUGAAGACUGGUCAGCUAGAGGACGGUAGAGGGGUGUGGAAUUCCGCGUGUAGCAGUGAAAUGCGUAGAGAUGCGGAGGAACACCGAUGGCGAAGGCAGCCUCCUGGGAUGACACUGACGCUCAUGCACGAAAGCGUGGGGAGCAAACAG
rnacentral:rRNA from 1 species